CAGUUGAUCGGUGACGACAACACCAGACCUUGUCCGGUUUGUAAGCUUCCUAUUUCUCAUCUGCAGAAUUGUCUGUCUUUAUCCAAAACCCCUCCACUGAAGAGAUUUGGAUCAACAAGACCGCUACUGUGGUGUGCGUGGUAAUGGGCGCUGAUCUGAGCCAGGUCCAAAUCUACUGGCAAGUGAGCGGAAGGGAGAGAACAACAGGGGCUGUGACCCGCCAACCGAGAGGGGAAAGUACCCAAGACAGAGUGAGCAGUAAACUCCGGAGCAGUGUGGAGGAGUGGACCAGCGGGGUGGAGGUUGUGUGCUCUGCCCAACGAUCUCCAUCAUCCUCACCAGUGUCAGCACGGACAGAAAGUGCCAAAGUUGAAACAAAAAGACCCAAGGUCAGACUGCUGCCUCCAGCUCACCAAGAGACCAAGCGUAGCAACACAGCCACCCUCGAGUGUGUGCUUUCUGGUUUCUACCCGGACCUCAUAAACGUCACUUGGGAGAAAGACGGAGCCCCGAUCUCCUCCACCACCAGCGCUACACCGACUGCUCUGGAGCAGGGGGGGACUUUCAGUGCCAGCCACUUCCUGUCUGUGAGUUCAGAGGAUUGGAAGAAAGGCUCAGUCUUCGGCUGUACAGUGUCUCAUCCCCCCUCGAACACCAGUAUCAGCCGGGAAGUGAAAAGCUUUCAAGAAUUGUCUGUCUUUAUCCAAAACCCCUCCACUGAAGAGAUUUGGAUCAACAAGACCGCUACUGUGGUGUGCGUGGUAAUGGGUGCUGAUCUGAGCCAAAUCCAAAUCUACUGGCAAGUGAGCGGAAGGGAGAGAACUACAGGGGCUGUGACCCGCCAACCGAGAGGGGAAAGUACCCAAGACAGAGUGAGCAGUAAACUCCGGAGCAGUGUGGAGGAGUGGACCAGCGGGGUGGAGGUUGUGUGCUCUGCCCAACGAUCUCCAUCAUCCUCACCAGUGUCAGCACGGACAGAAAGUGCCAAAGUUGAAACAAAAAGACCCAAGGUCAGACUGCUGCCUCCAGCUCACCAAGAGACCAAGCGUAGCAACACAGCCACCCUCGAGUGUGUGCUAUCUGGUUUCUACCCGGACCUCAUAAACGUCACUUGGGAGAAAGACGGAGCCCCGAUCUCCUCCACCACCAGCGCUACACCGACUGCUCUGGAGCAGGGGGGGACUUUCAGUGCCAGCCACUUCCUGACUGUGAGUUCAGAGGAUUGGAAAAAAGGCUCAGUCUUCGGCUGUACAGUGUCUCAUCCCCCCUCGAACACCAGUAUCAGCCGGGAAGUGAAAAGCUUUCAAGCCGGCACAGAAUUGACAGGUGAGGAAGGGAAGGAGGAGCCGGGGGACUUGGAUAGAGAUGACAAUGUGCUCACAGUUGCUGCCUUCGCCAUCCUGUUCAUUAUCAGUUUCCUCUACAGUACCUUCGUCACUGUUGUCAAGGUGCAACAAUGACCAGCCGACACACACGCCACAUUCACGCAAGAGAUCGCCAUGCAGCUGUUGACGUUGACAAAUGGAGUCUCCUUGUCUUUCACUCACUCACUCGGCAAACCGAGGCUACUGCUCUGCAAACGCUCAUUACAGGAGAUAAACUUGGAAAUGCAC